GGCGGAAUUGAAAAAGAUCAACAUAUCCUUCAUUUAGUGAUGAUUGAAUUAAUUAAACAACGACAUAAUCGAUCCCAAUCCAUAUAUAUUGGUAUGACAUUCAACUUGCUUUCAAUAUUCGACAAAUAUAUCCCAAAGACUUCGUGCGCUAAUAUUCCGCUGCCUAAUCCUUGUGUAAACCGUGCUUGGCUUUCUAUUCGCCUUAAUUUACACAUUCGACUAACCCGAUUCCAAUGACGUG